rnacentral:rRNA from 1 species
AUUUUGCACAAUGGGCGCAAGCCUGAUGCAGCGACGCCGCGUGAGGGAUGGAGGCCUUCGGGUUGUAAACCUCUUUCGCUCAUGGUCAAGCCGCAACUGUGGUUGUGGUGAGGGUAGUGGGUAAAGAAGCGCCGGCUAACUACGUGCCAGCAGCCGCGGUAAUACGUAGGGCGCGAGCGUUGUCCGGAAUUAUUGGGCGUAAAGGGCUUGUAGGCGGUUUGUCGCGUCUGCCGUGAAAUUCCCUGGCUUAACUGGGGGCGUGCGGUGGGUACGGGCAGGCUUGAGUGCGGUAGGGGAGACUGGAAUUCCUGGUGUAGCGGUGGAAUGCGCAGAUAUCAGGAGGAACACCGGUGGCGAAGGCGGGUCUCUGGGCCGUUACUGACGCUGAGGAGCGAAAGCAUGGGGAGCGAACAG